rnacentral:rRNA from 1 species
AGAAUCAACGCUGGCGGCGUGCCUAACACAUGCAAGUCGCACGAGAAAGUGGAGCAAUCCACGAGUAAAGUGGCGCACGGGUGAGUAACACGUGAAUAAUCUACCUCCGAGUGGGGAAUAACUGAGAGAAAUCUUAGCUAAUACCGCAUAAUACCCACGGGUCAAAGCAGCAAUGCGCUUGGAGAGGAGUUCGCGGCCGAUUAGCUAGUUGGCGGGGUAAUGGCCCACCAAGGCGAUGAUCGGUAUCCGGCCUGAGAGGGCGCACGGACACACUGGAACUGAAACACGGUCCAGACUCCUACGGAGGCAGCAGUGGGAAUUUUGCGCAAUGGGGAAACCCUGACGCAGCAACGCCGCGUGGAGGAUGAAAUCCCUUGGGAUGUAAACUCCUUUCGAUAGGGAAGAUAAUGACGGUACCUAGUAGAAGAAGCCCGGCUAACUUACGUGCCAGCAGCCGC